rnacentral:rRNA from 1 species
UACAGAGGGUGCAAGUGUUAUUCGGAAUUAUUGGGUGUAAAGCGUCUGUAGGUUGAUAUUUAAGUCAUUUGUUCCAAUUUUAAGCUUAACUUAAAAACGCAAACGAAACUAAAUAUCUGAGAGUAAGAUAGAGGUAAUGGGAACUUCCAGUGAAGCAGUGAAAUGCGAAGAUAUUGGAGGGAACACCAAAAGCGAAGGCACAUUACUGGGUCUUUACUGACACUGAGAGACGAAAGCUUUGGUAGCAAAAAGGAUUAGAUACCCUUGUAGUCUUAGCUGUAAACGAUGGAUACUAAAUAUUGUGUAUAAUUUAUUAGACGCAGUGUUAUAGCUAACGCGUUAAGUAUCCCACCUGGGAAGUACGCUCGCAAGAGUGAA